UAACCAAGGGCAUGCUGCACCGCCAUGGACGGGACUGGCAAUCCUUGUUUUGCGUGGAGUUGGCGUGCUUGAGGGAUUAAAGGGCGAUCUUUGGCGUCGGACAGGGGAGUCGGUGGCCUCUUGUCCUCCGCACUGCGUCACCUCUGCAAGCCCUGUUUCAAGUGGAGUCAGCGUCCUAUUGCGGGUGAAAGCAAUCGGAAGAGGGUGAGGACAAGGCACCAUGAGAUGUCAUGAGGGCGAGCCAGUGUUUGAUGGAAUGUCUUAAUUGCUGGCCAUUAUUAUGCUUGCAUUCGUUUGCCAAUAGAGGAG
rnacentral:lncRNA from 1 species